AUCCGGGAUUCCAUCAUGCUGCGGGUCUCCAGUUUUCCCGGGAAGGGCGGGAGCCCAAAAUUCCUUGGAAAAGGGAUCUGGAAUUCCAGGGAGAGAUGGGAGGGAAGGGGCUGAUCCAGGUGGGAAUUAACUGGGAAUCUUUGAUCCAGGUGGGAAUUAAAUGGGAAUCUCCAAUCCUACUGGGAAUUAAAUGGGAAUCUCUGAUCCCACUGGGAAUUUAAUUGGAAUCUCUGAUCCAGGUGGGAAUUAAAUGGAAUUCUCUGAUCCAGGUGGGAAUUAAAUGGGAAUUCUCUGAUCCCACUGGGAAUUAAAUGGGAAUUCUCUGAUCCUACUGGGAAUUUAAUUGGAAUCUCUGAUCCAGGUGGGAAUUAAAUGGGAAUCUCCAAUCCUACUGGGAAUUUAAUGGGAAUUCUCUAAUUCCAGUGGGAAUUAAAUGGGAAUCUCUAAUCCAGGUGGGAAUUAACUGGGAAUUUUUGAUCCAGGUGGGAAUUAACUGGGAAUCUUUGAUCCAGGUGGGAAUUAAAUGGGAAUCUCUAAUCCAGGUGGGAAUUAACUGGGAAUCUUUGAUCCAGCUGGGAAUUAACUGGGAAUCUUUGAUCCAGGUGGGAAUUAACUGUUCUGAUCCCAGUGGGAAUUAAAUGGGAAUCUCCAAUCCUACUGGGAAUUAAAUGGGAAUUCUCUGAUCCAGGUGGGAAUUAAAUGGGAAUCUCUGAUCCCACUGGGAAUUAACUGGGAAUUCUCUGAUCCUACUGGGAAUUAAAUUGGAAUCCCUGAUCCAGGUGGGAAUUAAAUGGGAAUCUCCAAUCCUACUGGGAAUUUAAUGGGAAUUCUCUGAUCCCAGUGGGAAUUAAGUGGGAAUUCUCUAAUCCAGGUGGGAAUUCAGUGGGAGGGUCUGAUCCAGGUGGGAAUGGAGAGGGAAGGGUGGGAAUUAAUUGGGAAUUCUCUGAUCCCACCAGGAAU